rnacentral:sRNA from 10 species
UUUGGGAUAGGGAAGGGCCUGCAGAUUCUGAUAAGAUCCUUCCGCCUAGGGGCAAGUCUCCAGACCUCGGGCAGAGAGUGCCACGUGCUUGCGCAGAUAGGCAUUCCCCACGGCUGGGCGCGGUGGCUCACGCCUGUAAUCCCAG